rnacentral:rRNA from 1 species
UACGUAGGGGGCUAGCGUUGUCCGGAAUCAUUGGGCGUAAAGCGCGUGUAGGCGGCUCGGUAAGUCCGCUGUGAAAGUCGGGGGCUCAACCCUCGGAUGCCGGUGGAUACUGUCGGGCUAGAGUACGGAAGAGGCGAGUGGAAUUCCUGGUGUAGCGGUGAAAUGCGCAGAUAUCAGGAGGAACACCAAUUGCGAAGACAGCUCGCUGGGACGUGACUGACGCUGAGACGCGAAAGCGUGGGGAGCAAACAGG